AAUGCUGGGUCAGGAGGUAAGCAAAUUCCGAGCCCUUUUUCCCAGUUCAUUUUAUAAAAAAAUUCGAAAAGCUAUCAAUUUUGUAAUCCAAAUUCCCAAAAAUUUACAAUAUUCUUAGAUUACUUUGUAAUGCUGUGAUUCAUUCGAUUUUGUUUCUUUUCUGGACUAUGGCUGAACUGGAAUACUUUUUGGUAGUGUUUGUGGUUGGGUUCUCAAUAGGAUUAUGAGUUUUGAUAAUUGAAACUACAUAAGCUUGGGAUUUUAACAUUACUGCUGAAAUAUAUUGCAGCUCUGAGCCCAUGGGA
rnacentral:misc_RNA from 1 species